GGCAGUGUUGCAUAGUGGUUAAGAGCGUCAGGCUAGGGCCUAGGAGAGCAGGGGUCAAAUCCCUGCUCAGCCA